UACAGAGGUCUCAAGCGUUUGUUCGGAUUCAUUGGGCGUAAAGGGUGCGUAGGUGGCGCCGUAAGUCAGGUGUGAAAUCUCGGAGCUCAACUCCGAAACUGCACUUGAUACUGCGGUGCUCGAGUACUGGAGAGGAGAUUGGAAUUUACGGUGUAGCAGUGAAAUGCGUAGAUAUCGUAAGGAAGACCAGUGGCGAAGGCGAAUCUCUGGGACA
rnacentral:rRNA from 1 species